UUUCAAAGCACAGGGUUCCCAGACUCCCUUGGCAUCACAGACGUGUGCUAGCAAGGCGUCACAUCUUGAGGUGUUCUGGUGAGAUGCCUGCUGAAUUCAAAGCAAGGCAAUUCUGCCUCUUCCCUGCGGCGCUGCUGAUGGCAGAAGUACUGUGGGAUGGGGGCUCUGUGGCCACAGCCAGAGCACAGCAUUCUCUGCUAGGUUCCCUCAGGAAGCCUCAUUUUGCCUGUCCUGUACAGCACCCCUUUCCUCCAUGUUCUGCCCCUUGACAGACUGAUGUUAUUAUCUGGGCAGUAGAGCCUGCAUGAAUUGGCUGCUUCCCUUUCUCCUAGAAAAAAUGUGAACCGAGCUGUUUACAGAUCGAUGUGGAGAGCUCAUUAUACCGCUGACCUCAUUCUGCUGGAAGGGGAGCUGGCUCAGUCUACAGCCUGGUCUCUUGAAGGUCGGCCACGUGUGCAGUGGUAAUUUAGGAGGUCUCUGCCCCGACUUGUCUUCAUUGCCUCUCUCCCAGAGGGUGGCUGACGCAGAACAAAGGCAGCAGAAUGGAAGAGACACCUUUCGUGGGUGCAAUCAUGGAAGAUAGAAGUGGGUGCAAUCAUAGAAGAGCAAUCAUGGAAGGUCACUUUGUGUUUGUUUUACCUCUACCCCCUUACCUGUAACAAUGCAAUCCAGAAC
ensembl:lncRNA